rnacentral:rRNA from 1 species
UGGGGAAUUUUGGGCAAUGGGCGAAAGCCUGACCCAGCGACGCCGCGUUGGGGAUGAAGUCCUUCGGGGCGUAAACCCAUGUUGUAGGGGAAGAAGAAAGUGACGGUACCCUACGAGAAAGCCCCGGCCAACUACGUGCCAGCAGCCGCGGUAAAACGUAGGGGGCGAGCGUUGUCCGGAAUUACUGGGCGUAAAGGGCAUGCAGGCGGUGCGCCAAGUCGGGGGUGUAAAGUUACGGCUCAACCGUGACCUUGCAAUCGAAACUGGCGCACUGGAGUGCGGGAGAGGGAAGUGGAAUUCCCGGUGUAGCGGUGAAAUGCGUAGAUAUCGGGAGGAACGCCAGUGGCGAAGGCGGCUUCCUGGCCCGCGACUGACGCUCAUGUGCGAAAGCCAGGGGAGCGAACCGG